GAACGCACCUUGCGCUCCUUGGUAUUCCGAGGAGCAUGCCUGUUUGAGUGUCAUUAAAUUCUCAACCUCACCAGUUUUGUCAUGAGACUGUGUAAGGCUUGGAUGUGGGGGUUUAUGCAGGCUGCCUCAGUGCGGUCUGCUCCCCUGAAAUGCAUUAGCGAGUUCAAACUGGACUCCGUCUAUUGGUGUGAUAAUUAUCUACGCCGUGGAUGGGGUUUAGACUUGCUUCUAACCGUCCGCAAGGACAACUUUUGACAAUUUGACCUCAAAUCAGGUAGGACUACCCGCUGAACUUAAG
rnacentral:misc_RNA from 1 species